UCUUGGAAAUGUGGGACGGCAUACCACAGGUUUGGUGGGGGCCAUAUGGCUCACAGCCAUGACUAUAAGAAUAGGACACAGUUCUGAAGUGGGACAGAGCACUGAGAAGGAAUUUCAACCGAAGUUGCAUCGCUAUACACACGUGAAGACAUUACGAGACAGACAAUGCAGAACAUCAACAACAAAGAUGAUUUCAUGUGUACAUCCGGAUCCGAUGAUGAUUUGCCAAGUUAUCAAACGACCCAUGAUUCCACAAAAAUGGAUGAUGCGACGGCUGACGGUAUUCUAUGGGACAUAUUGAACAAACCUGAAUAUUGUCACAACGCCGCUAUACAGACCAGCAAUGUUGUUGAUG